rnacentral:tRNA from 1 species
GCCUUCGUAGUGUAACGGUAGCACACUCGGCGAGUGUCCGAGAGGUCCAGGUUCGAGUCCUGGUGACGACA